AUUGAACGCUGGCGGCAGGCCUAACACAUGCAAGUCGAGCGAGCGGCGGACGGGUGAGUAAUGUCUGGGAAACUGCCUGAUGGAGGGGGGUAACUACUGGAAACGGUAGCUAAUACCCCAUACCAUCAGGUGUGCGCAGAUGGGAGGUGCUCGUAGGUGGGGUAACGGCUCACCUAGGCGAAGAUCCCCAGCUGGUCUGUGAGGAUGACCAGCCACACGGGAACUGAGACACGGUCCAGACUCCUACGGGAGGCAGCAGUGGGGAAUAUUGCACAAUGGGCGAAAGCCUGAUGCAGCCAUGCCGCGUGUGUGAAGAAGGCCUUCGGGUUGUAAAGCACUUUCAGCGGGGAGGCGUUACCCGCAGAAGAAGCACCGGCUAACUCCGUGCCAGCAGCCGCGGUAAUAC
rnacentral:rRNA from 1 species